GGGAGCUUCAAGAGGGGAUUUUCAUCAUCAAUGUGAAGAUUCGACGCGCGAGGAGGUCGAUUCGAUAGGAAAGGGCAUCGUAGAGUAGACUUUUGGCCAUCUUGAGAUAAAGGGCAGUCUCAGGCUCAGUAGAUCCAGUUG